UUCCAGCUAAUAUAAAGCAAAGCAUCUCAGUACGAAGAUGUACACCAAUUCACCAACUGCAACUGUCGAGAAUAAAAUCCACACACACACCUCCAACACUUUCUCUUUCUGGCUUCCAUAAUUUCUUCCUAAUGUUUGACCAAGUGGAAGAUGCUACUUUCUUCUGAGAAGGGCUCCAGCUAAUAUUUCUUUUUGUUGAUUUGAGGACACUUUCUCUUCAUUGUGAAUACUGCUUAACACUGGUUUUCUCUAACCCCCCCCCCCGCAAAAAAAACAUUUGCAAAUAAAUAUGUUCAGCAUUAUAA